rnacentral:rRNA from 1 species
GUAGGUGGCAAGCGUUGUCCGGAAUUAUUGGGCGUAAAGCGCGCGCAGGUGGCUCUUUAAGUCUGAUGUGAAAGCCCCCGGCUCAACCGGGGAGGGUCAUUGGAAACUGGGGAACUUGAGUGCAGGAGAGGAAAGUGGAAUUCCACGUGUAGCGGUGAAAUGCGUAGAUAUGUGGAGGAACACCAGUGGCGAAGGCGACUUUCUGGCCUGUAACUGACACUGAGGCGCGAAAGCGUGGGGAGCAAACAGGGAUUAGAUACCCUGGUAGUCCACGCCGUAAACGAUGAGUGCUAAGUGUUGGGGGGGUUUCCCGCCCCUCAGUGCUGCAGCUAACGCAUUAAGCACUCCGCCUGGGGAGCACGGUCGCAAGACUG